UACGGAGGGUGCAAGCGUUAUCCGGAAUCACUGGGUUUAAAGGGUACGUAGGCGGUUUUGUAAGUCAGACGUUAAAGACUAUGGCUAAACCAUGGUACGCGUUUGAAACUGCGAGACUUGAAUAUAUUCGAGGUGCAUGGAAUGCUUCAUGUAGCGGUGAAAUGCAUAGAUAUGAAGUAGAACACCAAAAGCGAAGGCAGUGCACUAGGAUAUUAUUGACGCUGAGGUACGAAAGCGUGGGUAGCGAACAGGAUUAGAUACCCUGGUAGUCCACGCCCUAAACGAUGCUAACUGGUCAUUUGGCGCAAUAGUCAAGAGACUGAGGGAAACCAUUAAGUUAGCCACCUGGGGAGUACGUUCGCAAGAAUGAA
rnacentral:rRNA from 1 species